GAAAUUGAAGAAGGGCGCAUGGUGGAUGCCUAGGCUCAAGGAGGCGAUGAAGGACGUGGGAAGCUGCGAUAAUCUGCGGUUAGGCGCAACCGGCCAUUGACCCGCAGGUCUCCGAAUGGGACAACCCGCCGCCGAAAGGCGGCAUCACGCAGUGAGCGUGAGGCGAACGCGGGGAACUGAAACAUCUUAGUACCCGCAGGAAGAGAAAACAACAGUGAUUCCCCCAGUAGUGGCGAGCGACCGGGGAAUAGCCCAAACCGUCGGCGUUUCGGCGCCGUCGGGGUAGUAGGGCCGCAAUGUCGCACAAGCACCGUUAAGCGGAACGGACUGGAACGUCCGGCCAUAGCGGGUGAAAGCCCCUUACGCGCCGUCGGUGCUGGCGUAGCGGUUCCCUGAGUAGCGCGGGGCACGAGAAACCCUGUGCGAAUCCGCCGGGACCAUCCGGCAAGGCUAAAUACUCCCUUGAGACCGAUAGUGAACAAGUACCGUGAGGGAAAGGUGGGAAGCACCCCGUCGAGGGGAGUGAAACAGACCCUGAAACCAUGCGCCUACAAGCGGUCGGAGCACGCUUAUGCGUGUGACGGCGUGCCUUUUGCAUAAUGAACCUACGAGUUGCCGUCGCCGGCGAGGUUAACCGUGAUGACGCGGGGAGCCGCAGUGAGAGCGAGCCUGAAUAGGGCGUACAGUCGGCGGUGGCAGACGCGAAACCAAGUGAUCUACACUUGGCCAGGGUGAAGUCCCGGUAACGCGGGAUGGAGGCCCGAACCGAUAAGCGUUGAAAAGCUUCCGGAUGAGCCGAGUGUAGGAGUGAAAGGCCAAUCAAACUUGGAGAUAGCUCGUACUCCCCGAAAGGCAUUUAGGUGCCGCGUGGGGUGUUCCGGGCGCGAGGUAGAGCGACCGAUAGGACGCGAGGGCUUCACCGCCUGUCAAGUCCUGACGAACUCCGAAUGCGCGUCCGCAGAAGCCCUGCAGUAAGGGGGCGGGUGCUAAGGUCCGCCCCCGAGAGGAGAAGAAUCCAGACCGCCGUCUAAGGCCCCGGAAUUCUGCCUGAGUUAGUCUAACGAAGUGUGCCCCCUGGGACAGCCAGGAUGUUGGCUUGGAAGCAGCCAUUCAUUCAAAGAGUGCGUAACAGCUCACUGGUCGAGGGGGCUCGCGUGGAUAAUAAUCGGGUAUAAGGCAGAUGCCGAAGGCGCGGGAUAUCGAAAGAACGUAUCGGUAGGGGAGCAUUCCAGGUGCGCAGAAUGCAAGGGGCGACCCAUGCUGGAGCGCCUGGAAAGGCAAAUGUAGGUAUGAGUAACGACAAGGGGGGCGCGAACCCCCCCCGCCGCAAGGCCAAGGUUUCCCGGGCGAUGCCAGUCAUCCCGGGGUAAGUCGGGCCCUAAGCCUAAGCCGAAUGGCGAUGGCGAUGGCAGACACGGUUGAGAUUCCGUGACUGCCCGUGCGGGCGAUGCGGCAACGGAGAAGUGACACCGCCGCGCGCAGACGGAACUGCGCGUUGAAGGGUGUAGGCGUCGAGGGGCGCAGUUAAGCACACGCCCCGAGCCGAACCUGAAAGUACGGCGCUCCAUUCGUGGAGGGCCGAGAGUGCGGGUAAUCCGGCUCCCAAGAAACCCCGCUAAGCUUAACCGCACGGGCACCCGUACCGCAAACGGACACACGUGGCCGGGUAGAGCAUACCAAGGCGUUGAGAGACUCAUGGUCAAGGAACUAGGCAAACCAGCCCCGUAACUUCGGGAGAAGGGGUCCUCCCCCCGUGGGAGGCGCAGCGAACAGGCCCAGGCAACUGUUUACCAAAAACACAGGGCUGUGCAAACUCGAGAGAUGAAGUAUACAGCCUGACACCUGCCCGGUGCCGGAAGGUUAAGAGGAGGCGUCACCGCAAGGGAAGCGCCGAGUUGAAGCCCCGGUAAACGGCGGCCGUAACUAUAACGGUCCUAAGGUAGCGAAAUUCCUUGUCGGGUAAGUUC
rnacentral:rRNA from 1 species